AAAGUGGCCGCCGCCGGCCAACGGGCUUUUUUUUUCGGGUAAGCUUUCCUCUUCGUGUUGCUGUUUCUGCCGCUGCUGCCUUUUUUUUUGCCGCUCGCGCCCCCGCUCCGGUCUGUGGUGCCGCCGGGACCCAGGACCAUGUCGCUGACUCGCUCAGAGGAGAUGCACCGGCUCACGGAAAAUGUCUACAAGACCAUCAUGGAGCAGUUCAACCCUAGCCUCCGGAACUUCAUCGCCAUGGGGAAGAAUUACGAGAAGGCGCUGGCAGGUGUGACGUACGCAGCCAAAGGCUACUUUGAUGCCCUGGUGAAGAUGGGGGAGCUGGCCAGCGAGAGCCAGGGCUCCAAAGAACUCGGAGACGUUCUUUUCCAGAUGGCUGAAGUCCACAGGCAGAUCCAGAAUCAGCUGGAAGAAAUGCUGAAGUCUUUUCACAACGAGCUGCUCACGCAGCUGGAGCAGAAGGUGGAGCUGGACUCCAGGUACCUGAGUGCUGCGCUGAAGAAAUACCAGACUGAGCAAAGGAGCAAAGGUGACGCCCUGGAUAAGUGUCAGGCUGAGCUGAAAAAGCUUCGGAAGAAGAGCCAGGGCAGCAAGAAUCCUCAGAAGUACUCGGACAAGGAGCUGCAGUACAUCGAUGCCAUCAGCAACAAGCAGGGCGAGCUAGAGAAUUACGUGUCCGACGGCUACAAGACCGCGCUGACGGAGGAGCGCAGACGCUUCUGCUUCCUGGUGGAGAAGCAGUGCGCUGUGGCCAAGAACUCCGCGGCGUACCACUCCAAGGGCAAGGAGCUGCUGGCACAGAAGCUGCCGCUGUGGCAACAGGCCUGCGCUGACCCCAGCAAGAUCCCAGAGCGCGCCGUGCAGCUGAUGCAGCAGGCAGCCAGCAAUGGCGCCACCCUCCCCAGCGCCCUGUCGGCCUCCAAGUCCAAUCUGGUCAUUUCAGACCCCAUUCCGGGGGCCAAGCCCCUGCCGGUGCCCCCUGAGCUGGCACCGUUUGUGGGGCGGAUGUCUGCCCAGGACAGCACGCCCAUCAUGAACGGCGUCGCAGGCCCGGAUGGCGAGGACUACAGCCCGUGGGCUGACCGCAAGGCUGCCCAGCCCAAAUCCCUGUCUCCUCCGCAGCCUCAGAGCAAGCUCAGCGACUCCUACUCCAACACGCUCCCCGUGCGCAAGAGCGUGACCCCGAAAAACAGCUACGCCGCCACUGAGAACAAGACUCUGCCUCGCUCGAGCUCCAUGGCAGCCGGCCUGGAGCGCAACGGCCGCAUGCGGGUGAAGGCCAUCUUCUCCCACGCUGCCGGAGACAACAGCACCCUCCUGAGCUUCAAGGAGGGUGACCUCAUUACCCUGCUGGUGCCUGAGGCCCGCGAUGGCUGGCACUACGGAGAGAGUGAGAAGACCAAGAUGCGGGGCUGGUUUCCCUUCUCCUACACCCGGGUCCUGGACAGCGACGGCAGUGACAGGCUGCAUAUGAGCCUGCAGCAAGGGAAGAGCAGCAGCACCGGCAACCUCCUGGACAAGGACGACCUGGCCAUCCCGCCCCCCGACUACGGCGCCGCCUCCCGGGCCUUCCCCGCCCAGACGACCAGCGGCUUCAAGCAGAGGCCCUACAGUGUGGCUGUGCCCGCCUUCUCCCAGGGCCUGGAUGACUAUGGAGCGCGGUCCAUGAGCAGUGGCAGCGGCACGCUGGUGUCCACAGUGUGAGGACGCUGACCCCGGGCAGCCGCUGCUCUGAAGAGCUUCCGCGCCUUCCCCCUGGUCUCCGUCCGUUUUCCUCCUCAGCUCUCGCUGGUUUGUUCCUGGGUUUUCUUUUCCACCUGCCCCUGCCUUUUGGUUGGUGACCCCAGACUCUGUGAUCCCCCAGGGUCCAUGGUGCUGCUCCAUCCGCCUCCCCCCCCCAGUGUUUACGCGCCCCACCCUGUGUGUCCCAGCCUUUCGAGCAGAAACUGCCAGGCAGGACCUGCUGGGCCGUGCGGGGGCACCCUCGGCCCCACCCUGCAGUGUCUGUGGCACUCACUGCUUUUCUAAGGCUCGCCGUGAGCCAGGUCUAAAGUUUGGAGAAAAAGAAAAAUCUUUAAAAAAAAAAAAGCAAAAAACAAAAAACAGGAAAAAGGACUUUUUUUUUUCCUGAAAAACAAAAACCGAUCUGCAUGGACUCCGGUGUGCGCUGUUAUCUCGCAUCCGACUUUCCCAGCGCAAAGGCCUCUGUCCAGACAGGGAAGGUGCUGGGGUCCCUGGUCACCCCGGACCCUGUGGAGGGCUGCACAGAGAAAGGGGGCUCGUGCCAAGCUCGAGGGGCCUCCUGAGGAAGCCGGCCGCUCCUGUGAGGGAGGCCGGGCCCGGGCACCUGAGGGCUUCUCCCUCCGGACGCUGCGGGCCAAGUGUACAUAGAGCAGCGUGGCAGAGUGGCCUCGCCUCCCGUCGGGCACCGGCAGGAGCAAGGUCGGGGGCAGGCGCUGCCCGGCUGGCCGCACACGGACACUCCAAAGACCUCCAGCGACCACCCCACCCCCACAUUCCUUUGACCAGCCUUGUGAGGGCAUCAAGGCUGCCCCGGGCUACCUGGCUGCUCGGGGCAGGGUGUGUGGGCCAGGCCCGGCCGGGGGAGGGCAGCUCUGGGCACGUCGCACCCACACCCCCCACCUGGGGGAGACAGGCGGUUCCUGCCUGGUUCUUCCUAAACGCUCUCGUCUUUUUGUGUGUCUUGGUGACUUUAGAAACAAACACAGUGGACUCAGUGGCUACUGGUAUUCUCUUCACACACUGAACUCUGGGGAAUUGAGUGCAGGGCACAGCCCGGCUCAGCCUGCCUGCUGGUGGGGGCCCCUGGGAAGCUGCGACGCUCCUUUAUCUGAUGUGGUUUAGCAAAAGCCUCCCGCACACCUCCCCGUGGCCUGGGGUGUGGCCUGGUUUGUGUGGGAAGCAGCUCCAGACGCGGACCGCCUGAGGUUAAGGGGAACUCGAGGGCGGACCGGGCCCUAUGUAGAGACCCCUCUGCGCCGGCGUUCCCGCUCUGCUAAAGAUUUCAAAUCCAGGGGAUUCCAUGCUCAAUGGAUGAAUGUAGACACAAAACAGCAACACUUGUAUGAAGAUGUAAAGUGCUGAACAUAUUUUUUUCCUGUUUCCUUUCCUUUUUUAAAAAAUCUGAAUUGUGCCCUGUACUGCAGUUACUUGUUGGAAUAAAAGUUUUAUUUAUUGCACGAGUUGGGUAUGGACCUCCUUCCGGUUCCCGGCGUGCGUCUGGGCCGUGGGGGCCCCGCCUCGUGCCUGCCUCUGCCAGGUAUUUUCUUGGCACUCAGUCGCCUGCUAGAUCACCUGGGCUUGCACAGAGUGCUGGCCCAGUGACAGUCACUCACUGUGCCGGGGCUCUGCGGGGGCCCCGCCGCCCCAGGGGAAAGUGCGGGGCCACCUGCGGCUGAGGCAGGCUUCUGGCUCUCUCCAGGCCGGCAAGUGAGGCCGGGUCCGCAGGCGCCGUCCAGGGAGAGCCAGAGCCCCAGCUCUGUGCCGACUCCCAAGUGCUCCAGGGUUCUCGGUCUCCUGGCAGCUCGCCCGUGGUUCCCCCUCCUCUGCAACCCCGAGUCCUCCGACCUCAUGCUGCCUCCAACUGAGCCUUGUGUUUCCUUGCAGCGCCGAUGUGGAAGUGGCCAGAUUCUGAGCCGCCUGACUAGAGUUAGAAUCCCUUCGCCCAUGUCCAGCUGAAGCCGACAGUGACCAACGACAGGUCUGCCCCUCUCCUCAGCUGAUGGCCACAUCUGCGGCGCUGCCCAUCCGGCGGCUUCCCCCGCUCUGCCCAUGCAGCCUGUUCUGUCAUCCUCUGUGCGUUUCUGUUAAGAGAACAUCCAGGCCCCAGAUGCCUGGCCUUGCCCCACUUGAGUCUGGCCUGGGCUGGAUCCCAGCUGUUCUGGGCAGGGCUGGGCACAGGGGGGUGCAGGCCCCUGAAGGGCCGAGACCCACUGGCUGCGCUGCCCGGGGCCGAGGGACCACCUCUUGAGGGUAUACACCUCUGGUCACAUGGCCAUGGAGCCCUUGGGUGCCCCUGGGUCAAGGGAGGACAUGUGGCCAGCUGGUGGCUGGGAGGGGAGCCCGGCUGCCCUGCUGCUUCUCCUGCCUAAUAAACAGGCUCCUUCUGCA